GCUGAGUGUAGGGGUGUGAGUUUGUAGUUCCAGCUGCUUAGGAAGCUGAGGCAGGAGGGUCUCGAGCAUAGGAGUUUGAGGUCAGCCCAUGCAAUAGAAUGACAUCCUGCUU
rnacentral:sRNA from 1 species